AACCUGACAUCACUCCAGGUUUUGUGAGUAUCAGCACGAUCAUCACUUAAGAUUCCCUUGUUUUUCACAAAAAAUUAAACUUCCUUAUUUAUUCUAUUCCGGUAAAAUUGUAUUAUUGGAGAUAAAGGGGGAAUCCUGUUGAUAGCUUUGAAUAUUCUUAUAUUGUAAUUAAUUCUGGGAUUUUUCAGGACUUUGGGCAACAACAGG
rnacentral:misc_RNA from 1 species